UACGGGGGGUGCGAGCGUUGUCCGGAAUCACUGGGCGUAAAGGGCGCGUAGGUGGCCUGAUAAGGGUGUGGUGAAAGUCCGGGGCUUAACCCCGGAUCUGCCGUGCCGACUGUUAGGCUAGAGUGCUGUAGGGGCAGGCGGAAUUCCGGGUGUAGCGGUGGAAUGCGCAGAGAUCCGGAGGAAGACCGGUGGCGAAGGCGGCCUGCUGGGCAGAUACUGACACUGAGGCGCGACAGCGUGGGGAGCAAACAGG
rnacentral:rRNA from 1 species